rnacentral:rRNA from 1 species
GAUGGGAGCUUGCUCCCUGAUGUUAGCGGCGGACGGGUGAGUAACACGUGGGUAACCUGCCUGUAAGACUGGGAUAACUCCGGGAAACCGGGGCUAAUACCGGAUGCUUGAUUGAACCGCAUGGUUCAAUUAUAAAAGGUGGCUUUUACCUACCACUUACAAAUGGACCCGCGGCGCAUUACCUAGUUGGUGAGGUAACGGCUCACCAAGGCAACAAUGCGUACCCAACCUGAAAGGGUGAUCGGCCACCCUGGGACUGAAACACGGCCCAAACUCCUACGGAAGGCAGCAGUAGGGAAUCUUCCGCAAUGGACAAAAGUCUGACGGAGCAACGCCGCGUGAGUGAUGAAGGUUUUCGGAUCGUAAAACUCUGUUGUUAGGGAAAAACAAGUACCGUUCGAAUAGGGCGGUACCUUGACGGUACCUACCCAAAAAGCCACGGCUAACUACGUGCCACCAGCCGCGGUAAUACUUAGGUGGCAAGCGUUGUCCGGAAUUAUUGGGCGUAAAGCGCGCGCAGGCGGUUUCUUAAUUCUGAUGUGAAAGCCCCCGGCUCA